rnacentral:rRNA from 1 species
GACGAACGCUGGCGGCGUGCCUAACACAUGCAAGUCGAACGCAGUGGGGACGGGUGAGUAACACGUGGGUAACCUCCCAUCAGAGGGGAUAACACUUGGAAACAGGUGCUAAACCGAUACUGAUGGAUGGACCCGCGGUGCAUUAGCUAGUUGGUGAGGUAACGGCUCACCAAGGCCACGAUGCAUAGGCGAACUGAGAGGGGGAUUCGCCACACUGGGACUGAGACACGGCCCAGACUCCUUCGGGAGGGAGCAGGGGGGAAUUUUCCGCAAUGGGCGAAAGUCUGAACGAGCCAAGCCGCGUGAAGGAAAGAGGGUUUCGGGUCGUAAAACUUUGUUGGUCGGGGAACGGUAUCUAACCAGAAAGCCACGGCUAACUACGUGCCAGCAGCCGCGGUAAUAC